UAUACGAGUUAACCGGAGUGUGUGUUUACAGUCUAUGGUGUGAAUCUGUGAAAGAUAUGCAUUUGUCAGGAAUCAACAGGCACAGGGAAGAGACAGAUAAAACAUUAAACCAAUUAAAUUAUAAUCACAUAAGAAUUGUCUUCGUUCCUCCCCAGACAGCAGGUGAUUCCGUGCCGGAUCCGUUUUCAAACCGGCAAAUCCGCGUUACAGUCACCUCCGUUUCACUGCUCUAAAACGGAUCCAGCCCGGUCCCGGUUUCCGUGGGCGGGAACAACAGUCGCAACGCAGAUUCGGCCCGUAUCCGCGGAAACGAGCGCGCGAAUUUUUUUCUGGAGUUUAGAAGAGGAGGCAGCCACAGACGGUGCUCGGUCGGUAUCCUACUUCAAAAACAUCACCAAAGAGCUGUAAGGAAUAACCAGUCCUCUACCAGUGCAGCAGAUUCUUGCCUUUGACUGUGGCGGUGGCCAGAAGGAACGUGCCAAAGCCAAAGAGGCCUUAACUGAGAUGCCUCAUGGGAAUUAAAUGGCACAUAUGAAGUGGUUUGUAAUACAAUGGUUUUCUGACCUGUCCUGAUUUGGUUCUUGAUAUGUUUAUGGUUCAUUAUAUGAAAUUAUUUUUUGUAUGCUUUUUUUCCCCCAUUUCUUCUAUUUUUUUCUUCUUUAAAUAUACAUUAAGAAAAGUCGUGAGAUUGUUUAACUGUUCAUGUAUCAAUGUUUUAAAGGAUAGUUCACCGGAAAAUGAAAAUUUGCUGUUAAUUUACUCACCCUCAAUUUUGAGAUUUUUUCUUCAGUUUACACAAAAGAUUUUUAACGUGGUCCUUGGUGAUUCGUAUAAUGCAAGUCAAUGGCUACCGUCACUUUGAGAGUCAUAAAAACAUAUUACAGGCCAAACAAAGUUAAUACCUGUGACUGAUGCUGACGUUACAUUGAGGUCUUAUGAAUCAUCCGGAGCCACAGGUAUUCUUUUUGUUUUGUCUGUAUAUGUUUUUUUGAGUUUCAAACUGACUGUAGCCAUUGACUUUUAUAUUAUACUUUUAUAUUAUACAAAUCACCAAGGACCACAUUUUCAGCUAAAAAUCUUCUUUACUGAUAGUAAAUUAACGGCAAAUUUUAAUUUUUGGGUGAAUGAUCCCUUUAAGCUUAGUGAAUAUAAUGUAACUAGAGACUUAAAUGAUUAGUUCACUUUCAAAUGAAAAUUACCCCAAGCUUUA